rnacentral:rRNA from 1 species
UACUGGCAGAACGAGUGGUGCCCACGAAUAUUGGGUCUAAAGAGACCGUAGCUGGUCUGUUAAGUCCACUGUGAAAUCUUGGGGCUCAACCUCAAGGCGUGCAGUGGAUACUGGCAGACUUGAGAGCGGGGGAGGUCAGGGGUACUUACGGGGUAUGAGUAAAAUCAGUUGAUCCUGUAAGGACCACCAGUGGCGAAGGCGCCUGACCAAAACGCGUCUGACAGUGAGGGUCGAAGGCUAGGAGAACGAAUCG